GGAUCCAGACUUUGAUCCUGGCUCAGGACGAACGCUGGCGGCGUGCCUAACACAUGCAAGUCGAACGGAACCCCUUGGAAAGAGUUUUCGGACAAUGGAAGAGGGCGUUUAGUGGCGGACGGGUGAGUAACGCGUGAGCAAUCUACCUUUCAGAGGGGGACAACAGUUGGAAACGACUGCUAAUACCGCAUAACGUAUCUUUGCGGCAUCGUAGAGAUACCAAAGAUUUAUCGCUGAGAGAUGAGCUCGCGUCCAAUUAGCUAGAUGGCGGGGUAAAGGCCCACCAUGGCGACGAUUGGUAGCCGGACUGAGAGGUUGAACGGCCACAUUGGGACUGAGACACGGCCCAGACUCCUACGGGAGGCAGCAGUGGGGGAUAUUGCGCAAUGGGGGAAACCCUGACGCAGCAACGCCGCGUGAAGGAAGAAGGUCUUCGGAUUGUAAACUUUUGUCUUGUGGGACGAAUCAAUGACGGUACCACAGGAGGAAGCCACGGCUAACUACGUGCCAGCAGCCGCGGUAAUACGUAGGUGGCGAGCGUUGUCCGGAAUUACUGGGUGUAAAGGGUGCGUAGGCGGGGAUGCAAGUCAGAUGUGAAAUCUAUCGGCUUAACUGGUAAACUGCAUUUGAAACUGCAUUUCUUGAGUGGUGGAGAGGUAAGCGGAAUUCCUAGUGUAGCGGUGAAAUGCGUAGAUAUUAGGAGGAACACCAGUGGCGAAGGCGGCUUACUGGACACUAACUGACGCUGAGGCACGAAAGCAUGGGGAGCAAA
rnacentral:rRNA from 1 species